UACGGAGGGUGCAAGCGUUGUUCGGAAUUACUGGGCGUAAAGAGCGUGUAGGCGGCCGACUCAGUCAGGUGUGAAAGCCCUUGGCUCAACCAAGGAAGUGCAUCUGAUACUGAGCGGCUUGAGUACGGGAGAGGAGAGUGGAAUUCCUGGUGUAGCGGUGAAAUUCGUAGAUAUCGGGAGGAACACCGGUGGCGAAGGCGGCUCUCUGGACCGGUACUGACGCUGAGACGCGAAAGCUAGGGGAGCAAACGGG
rnacentral:rRNA from 1 species